CAGUCGCCACGGUAAUACGUAGGUGGCAAGCGUUGUCCGGAAUUAUUGGGCGUAAAGGGCUCGCAGGCGGUUUCUUAAGUCUGAUGUGAAAGCCCCCGGCUCAACCGGGGAGGGUCAUUGGAAACUGGGAAACUUGAGUGCAGAAGAGGAGAGUGGAAUUCCACGUGUAGCGGUGAAAUGCGUAGAGAUGUGGAGGAACACCAGUGGCGAAGGCGACUCUCUGGUCUGUAACUGACGCUGAGGAGCGAAAGCGUGGGGAGCGAACAGGAUUAGAUACCUCGGUAGUCCCUGUCUCUUAUAC
rnacentral:rRNA from 1 species